rnacentral:lncRNA from 1 species
UUACGAGGCCCCAUAACUUAUUGUUCAUUACUUAAUUGAAUAGUAAUAAAAGGACGAACAAUUAACUUAACCCAAAAUGCAAGGUUACCACCAUUGCAAAUGAAAAGUGCAAAAUAAAUUGAAGUAAAGGUACAGGGUUACAAGUGUAAUUCACCCCCCCAUGGUAGGGACUACGAAACAAUUAAUUGGACGAUUAUAAAGCUAGAGGAUUUUGAAUGAUGGAUUUGAGUUUUGGGAAGGCUGGGGAAUGACAGGUGAGGGUAGGAGAAGGCGGUGAUGGCAAGCGACAUGGCGGUUGUGGGUGCGGGUGCAGGGAUAACGUUUGACCCUGAAAUCUAGGGUUUGUCCAUAGUGGUAAUUUUUUUUAAGGGGUGAGAUGUAAUAAAAAAAAUAAAUAUUUUUGAUGGGCUAGAAGGAGGAAUCUAGGUCAAAUAGAAUCACCCUAGUACUUAUACCAUUUACUAAUAAAAUUAACCAAACAACCUCCAUCCUCUUAUGCCAUCCACCACCAUCAUUCUCCCCACCCUCGCCCCUUUCACCUCUCCCACCACACCCACCCUCUCCCCCAUCAAUCCGAGAUGCCUUCUUCGCACCCCGAAGUCACCCCACCCCUUAGGAGUGGCAUGGCCCUACUCAUCUCAAUCACAUAUAGCAACUCCUCACCUCAUUGGGCCGCCACCCCCAGCCCCUUCCUUACCUUGCCCAGCCACCUCCCAAUCGUUCCCACACUAAGCUGUACCCCUCCCGCUCCUUCAUCAAGAUUAAUAUAUAUAUUUAAAUACAUUUUUCAGACUUCCACCAUCUUCAUAUACUUAAAUUUUAGGAAAAAUUAUAAAAAUAACCAUAGGAUUUCACUGAUAAAUUAAAUCUUGAAUUUUUUUUGAAUAAAUUAAAUCUUAAACUUUUUAACCUAUCACGUUUCAAAUCUUUCGCCAAUUUCAAUUUAUAUAGUUAAACGACAACAAUUGUUCCCACAAAAAUGAUUGAGAAAACGAUGUCCAGUGAAUUGGGACCCUUUUAAUAGUUUUAAUUUCCGCAAUUAGGACACUUAUCUAAUUGGUGUCGUCAAACUAUAUAAAUGAAAGCUAAUGGCGUUCUUAAUUGGUGUUGUUUUUUUAAAAGAAAAUAAUUUUUUUUGCUUUUUUUAAGUUCAAUAGUUAUUUUUUAGAAACUACUCAACUCAUGCUUCUCAACUUCUACUUCUACCUAUUACUCAAUCAUAAAAGCAAAAUAACAAAAUAUCUCGUACUUGUUUGACCUAAUUAUAAAUAUACCUUCAUAAAUAACAAACCAAUUCGACUCUCUUUAUUUUUUGAUCAUUCUCUCUCUUAUCCAUCUCCGUACUGAAGACCUACCCUACACUAAAGCCACUAUUCCUUUAUCUGCCAUUGUAUCCGACCGUCAAUUAGCCACCGAUCACCGUUUAAUAAUUUUAUUUUAUUUUUGUUAAAUUUUUAUGAGCAUAUAGUGUUUUUUUGCUUGGUAAUGUAACUGUUUUUUUGAGCAACUUCUAACUACAAAAAUAUACAUUUUGAAUGUUUUCAAUUACGUUUUUUUUUAACAUAAAUGAACUUUUUAAGCUAUUUUUAGGGCCAUUUUUGAAGUUACUAAACUCAUGCUUUUUAGUUUUUGUUUCUAUCUAUUACUCAAUUAUAAAAGCAAAAUGACAAAAUACUUCAUACUUAAUUAACCAACUAGUUUUUCAAUUGGAGAUUAUAUGCCGAACUAGUUUUUUAAUUAACAAAUAUUCUUGGAUCAUGAAGAUGGUGAAAGAUUGCAUUGCCGUUUUGAUUAAGAAUAUGGAACGUUUGAAAACCUUGGUAAGUAUUUUGUUAAAAGCACAAUGUCAUACCCUGCAGUUUUUUCAGGCAACUAGUUAAUGCGGUCGAAGUAUACAAACAUUUGGUUUAAAUUGUAAUGGUUAAAAAAUAUGAGAUCUAAUUUAUUUAAAUUGAAAAUAUGAGUUAAUUUUGUCACUAAAUUUAAACCUUGGGUUUAAUAUGUAAUUUCGUAAUCAAAGACACUUGCACAAAUUAUAUAGGCAGCGGAAGAAAUGCUAAUUUUAAUUUCAAACAAACCUUCCCAAUCUUUUUUUCCUAAUUCCAUUAAAUGUUGGUUGGAGUUAAAUUUUGCUGGAACCUGUAAAUUCACCUAAUGUAUAGGGAAAUGUGACGCCGUCUCAACAAUUGAGGUGCUUUCCCUGUGGCUACUUAGUUGGAGGUCUAAGCUUUUUGUGCUUGGAUUCUCCUAGACUAUGCCUUGAUGCUCUCUCUCUUUUUUCCCCCUUUUCUCCGGGCAAUUGAGGUGUAAUUUUGAUUAAUCGGUGAAAAUAAUUUACUAAAGAUAAAUAAAAGGUGAAAAGCAAAAUAGAUAAAAAAAAAUUAUCCCAAAUAGAAAGAAAAAUGAUUUUCAUACGUUCAUUUUCUUUAAUUGUAUUUUUCUUAUGUUUAUUGAAAUUAAAUUAUGCAAUUAUCGUAAUAAAAAUAUUUGAGUAAAAAUAAAUAUUUAAAUAAAUUUAUCAUAAUAAGGACAACAAAAUCUAUAAUAUAUGACACAAGUAUUUUUGAAUCUUUCAAAUUAUCUCUCACUAUUUACGGAUGAGAUCUAUUUGAGUUAAUACAAUGUCUGAAAUUUCACCUGAGACUAUUUUUUCUCCAAAAAAAAUAUCACUUCUUUUUUUCUCAAAGGUGUGUGUGGCCCACGUAGGUUGUAAAAAUCACAUGGUCAAACUAGCAACACUUUUUCAAAAUCAUUAUAUUUUUUAAUUUAUUCUUUAUUUUGUAGUAAUCUAUCUCUUAUAUGACGUUUAUAUCUUAUAUGUUUUUUAGGUUAUACAAAUUUUAAUGCACACGGAUGCGAUUUUUUUUUUUUUUACAUAAUGUCCGUGUGCACGGAUAAUUACUAACAGCUUAAUAUGAUCAAUUUAAUUGGUUUAGUAUUUUUCUUACAUCCCUAGGACUUGGGUUUGAUCGGAGAUUAUAUGCCGAAUAAAUUUUUUAAUUAGUAAAUAUUUUUGAACCAUAGAGAUGGCGGAAGAUUGUGUUGCCGUUUUGAUUAAGAAUAUAGGACUUCUGAAAAACCAUGGUAAGAAUAUAUCCUGCAGUUUUUUCAGCCAGUUAGUUAAUGCGGUUUCAGCCAGUUAGUUAAUGGGGUCAAAUGAUACAAUCAUUUGGUUUGAAUCGUAAUGGUUAAAAAAUAUGAGAUUUAAUUUCUUAAAUUGAAAAUAUAAAGUUAAUUUUGUCACCAAGUUUAAACUUUGGGGUUUAAUUUGUAAUUUCUCAAAAAAAAAGCAUUAAAAGUUAGAACUCAAAUCCAAUACCAAUCGGAGGCCGAUUCACUUUUGGGUUCUCUCUUGGCAAUUGCGAACUGCGAAGGCGACGUGAUUCUAGGGUUUGCGACGAGAAGAAGAUGAAAUCGGGAGCGACGAUCUGUGUGGAUGCUGAGCCCUAUUUGAGGGUGAAGGAGGAAGUGGAGGAAAAACAUGGCCUUCAAAUUGUUGGCGAAGGCGACGAGUAUUGCCUGAAGCAAAGCGACGAAAUAAGUGGAAUCGUAACGACGACCUUUUUGGGAUCCUGGAUGAUGUGGCUAAGCCCCUUUCGAGAGUGAAGGAGGAAGUGGAGGAAAAUCACGGCCUUCGAAUUGGGGGCGAUGCUAUGUUUUAUGCUCAUAUUCUUAUCGGAGGAAAGUUUGGAGAAUGUCAAAUUGGUAACUGUUAAUUCUCUCGUCUAUUACAUCUGUUGCUAUCCGUAUGUAAUCAAAUUUUGUUGUUGCUGCUGCUGCUGUUGUUAAAUCUCGUCUUUUCAUAAUUUCGGUUGAUUUUGGAGCUAUUCGUAGCCAUGGAUGGACGCAGACCUUGGGGCGGAUGGACAUACAUGGACGAAAAACUUGUGUCGAUUGCCUGAACAAAUUAUAUCAAUCUAGUAGAGUGCUAUUUUGUACAUCCACCUGGGUGAAUAUUACCCCAUUUAGAAUAGUAGACCCCGCAAUUUAGCCAUCACAGAUAGGAUAUUGAUGUGGGUGAACAAAAUAGCACUCACAUAAUUAAACUGAAACAUUAGAAGAAGAGGAAGAAUGAGAAGCUAAAAAACCUUUAGCUUGGUGGAUAUGACAAUGAAAAAGAUCUCCCCUGACAUGAGAUUCUUUCGUCAUUUGGCAUAAUUUUCUAAUAGAAAAGUUUAUCUGUUGGCCGAGUUUUUUUUCUAUCUGUGAAGACUGGCAGAACACGCUAUGGCCCGAUAUUUUCGUCAGGUGUUUAUCUGGGAUUUUCCUACCUUUGGAGAUUGGAUGCCUCCGUGCAUUCGCUUUGCACGGCAGAUUAGUUUUGUCAUUUCUAGCCCAAACCCACAAUUUAGAAGGUCGCCUUCUUUAUAAAAAAAUUGUCAAAGGGAAACAUAUGUAUCAUUUUUUGUUAGGCUUGAACAAAAAUCUCGAUGAAUUAGAGGACGACUUAUGGGCUUAAAAACCUCUGCCGCACCUCAGAGAGGCAUUUUAUGAACUCCGUCGUGAAAAAUUCGAAAAAAGCUCGUGAUGGGACCCCAUCAACAACUGAAAUAGGCAAGAAAGCUCUGUUUUUAAAACUCAUAUUCACUCCUUCUAAAACCGUCAAAAAUAAAGGAGGAAGGCCUUGGUGUGAUCAGUGUGGAAAGCCAGGUCACUCAAUAGAAACUUUCCAGAAUAUUCAUGAAAAAACAGCAGAUUGGAAGCCAUAUCAACUACUUGAGAAAGAAAGAUGUCCUUUUAUGUCAGCGUAGUCACAAACUGGUUCGUCUUCAAACAAUGUCAUUGAUUCCGGAACCUUGGCUCACAAAGGUAAUUCUUUAAGUGCCUUUAUUAUUGGUAAGAAAUUUAAAAAAUUUUGGAUCAUGGACUCGAGAGCAUCUGAUCAUAUGAGGGGAGAUAUAACAAUUUUUUAUAUAUAUAGCUUAUGUCCAAAUAAUCUAACGGUCCGAAUAGCGAAGGUUACCGAUAUAGGUUCAGUUGUGCUAUCACAGGAUCUUAAUCUCAACUCUGUUCUUCUUGUUCCUAACUUGGACUAUAAUCUAUUGUCAAUUAGUAAACUUACUAAAGAAAGGAGGCAUGUUACUAAUUUUUUCUCCAUUCACUAUGAAUUUUAGGAUUUGGAUUCGAGGAAGACGAUUGGCAAUGCUGAGGAAUACUCCAGACUCUCCAUCCUUAAGGAUCGCAACUAUCCACAAGAACAAUCUCAAACGACAUUUAGUGGUAUUCUUUGUUUUUAUUUGUGUCAAAAUAACGAUAGUGCAAUCAUGUUUGGCACUAUCAGUUAGGCCUCCUAAUGUUAUGCAUCUCACGCUUUAUUUUCUUCAUUAUUAUUCCUCCCCAAUCCCACCUCCUUUUUCUUUUUCCCUCUUUCCCUUCUCCCCUCCCCGACCCCCUCCGUUUCUUUCUUCAUUUUUCAUUCACCCCCUAUAAAGCUCUAAUCUUCUCAAUGAUUCCAUAGCGAUAUAUGGGGCUGUCCAGAUAAAAAAUUUAACUGGUUCUAUGUGGUUUUGGUCUCCUUAAUAUAUUAUCACACUAGAUUAACCUGGGCAUUCCUCAUGAAAGAAAUUUUGAAACGGGUUCAAAUCUUCAAAAAAUUUAAAAAUAUGAUUUAACUCAAUUUUAGUCAAAAAUACAAAUUCUAAAGCUAAUAACGCUAAUGAUUAUUUCAACUCUAUUCUAAGUUCAUUUCUAGAAAAAAAAAAAAAAAAAUAAAAGAGAGGAUAAUUCACUCCAAGUUUCCAUGUGUAGAUACACCAUAACAAAACGGAAUCGCUGGAAAAAAAAUAGGCAUUUGUCAAGGUGCGAGAUCGUAAUGUGUUUUUUUUUCUCCACAAAUGUUCCAAAAUUAUUCUGGGGGGAAGUUGUACUUUGGUGGCCUACUCAUCAUAGGAUUGCCGUAUAAGGUACAAACAUUCCCAAUGCUUUGUCAAAAGCGCUUAAAUCAUUUUUGAUACUCAUCGUUAUCUUCACCAUCCAAAUUUUUGGGUGGCUCAGUCUUUGUUCAUGUCCAUCAAUAGUAUACGAAGUAAAUUUGAAAUCAUAGUGUCACUCAAAUGCAUCUUUUCUUUGGUAUCUUCAAAUCAAAAAGGUACAAGUGUUACCUUCGUCACAAGAAAAAUCUCAACUAUAUCCCAAUUCUUUGGCAGUAUCGAAUGACAAUUUUUUUUUGCCAAUGUCAGUGGUCAGCGAGUGACAAGCGACGACCAUGACAUAUUAUUUUCUGCCUCCAUUUUUUGUAGGUUGGUGCUGAGGUUUCUGGUGCCCGUUGAAGCUCCAUUGAUGUAGUCUUCUUUCUCCUUUCCCCGUAUGAACAAGUAAGAUGACUAGACCAUUGUAAAUAAUUUUGUCCAUUCAGUUUAUGGGAGGAUCCCUGAAGAUAAGAGGUUUCCUCUAUAAAGGAUGAAGAUGAUGAGAUGUGCUAUCAGAAGAAGAGGAGGGUGAGUGGUAGCCAUUCGUAAGGUUGGAUCGUAUUUACGACAUGAAAUAGAAAAAGAGAAUCGAGUAGAAAAACUCGAACAUUGAUUGAAGAUGAAGAAAUUAUAUCAAUCUAGUAGAGUGCUAUUUUGUACAUCCACCUGGGUGAAUAUUACCCCAUUUAGAAUAGUAGACCCCGCAAUUUAGCCAAUCACAGAUAGGAUAUUGAUGUGGGUGAACAAAAUAGUACUCACAUAAUUAAACUGAAACAUUAGAAGAAGAGGAAGAAUGAGAAGCUAAAAAACCUUUAGCUUGGUGGACAUUAAUUUUUCAAAAAUUUCUCGGGUGGAAAAACUAUAUAAUUUGAAAAUAUUAGUAGCUUAUACUAUUAUUAUAAUGGGUUUUUACCUUGGGGUGGCGUUGGCGCCCUUCUAUCUCUAUCUCUCUCCCCUCAAUUCCUAAUUGUAGCCUUGUUGGUUUUAUUUUUCCCGUGACGCUUCAAUGGGUUUCGGUCCUGAUUCCAUUGUUGGUUGGGUUUUUUGAUGUUACUUUUUCUGGUUCUUCGAUUGGUGAUUACUGAUAUUUAUUUUUCCUUUUAUCUUAACCGUGAUGAUUUAUUUAUAUUGAAGAAGACAGUUUAAUGCUAGAGAGAUGCAGCAUAUCUCAAUGAAGCCUGUGAGUUGACACGAUCUAGAAUCUUAAGCAAUGAGGACGAGAAAGAGCUUGAUAGUGUUGAGCACAUUAUACGUCGGUCUUUGAUAGAAUACAACGAGCUGGUUAAGGAGAAGCAUCCGAUCUUCAAGCCUUGGUGGGAUCGUGUUAGCCGGGAACUUAAUGGUGCAG